rnacentral:rRNA from 1 species
CCCCUAGAUGUUCUGGGCCACACGCGCGCUACACUGAACAGUUCAACAAGUCUUAACCUUGGCCGAUAGGUCUGGGUAAUCUUUGAACGCUGUUCGUGACUGGGAUAGACCUUUGCAAUUAUGGGUCUUCAACGAGGAAUUCCUAGUAAACGCAAGUCAUCAGCUUGCAUUGAUUACGUCCCUGCCCUUUGUACACACCGCCCGUCGCACCUACCGAUUGAAUGGUCCGGUGAAAUCUCGGGACGGCGGCUUGGUCGCUUGCGUCCGACUGCUGAAACUUGAUUAAACCAUAUCAUUUAGAGGAAGGUGAAGUCGUAACA